rnacentral:rRNA from 1 species
GAUGAACGCUGGCGGCGUGCCUAAUACAUGCAAGUCGAGCGAACGGACGAGAAGCUUGCUUUUCUGAUGUUAGCGGCGGACGGGUGAGUAACACGUGGAUAACCUACCUAUAAGACUGGGAUAACUUCGGGAAACCGGAGCUAAUACCGGAUAAUAUUUUGAACCGCAUGGUUCAAAAGUGAAAGACGGUCUUGCUGUCACUUAUAGAUGGAUCCGCGCUGCAUUAGCUAGUUGGUAAGGUAACGGCUUACCAAGGCAACGAUGCAUAGCCGACCCGAGAGGGUGAUCGGCCACACUGGAACUGAGACACGGUCCAGACUCCUACGGGAGGCAGCAGUAGGGAAUCUUCCGCAAUGGGCGAAGGCCUGACGGAGCAACGCCGCGUGAGUGAUGAAGGUCUUCGGAUCGUAAAACUCUGUUAUUAGGGAAGAACAUAUGUGUAAGUAACUGUGCACAUCUUGACGGUACCUAAUCAGAAAGCCACGGCUAACUACGUG